ACAUCCAAACACAUUUUUGAGGUUUUCGUCAAUUUAGUAACUCCGAUCUUUUUCAAAAUUUUUUUGCUUGUUUUGAACUUGAUUUUUAAGAAGUGUGCAAAUUUUGAAUUGAGAUCGACGGUUUAUUCAUUAGAUAUUGAGGUUUAAAUCUGUCAUAAGAAUUACUAGGAUUUGAAUUAGGAUUUGGCUAGGGUUUGGUUUAGGGUUUGGAUUAGGGUUUGGAUUAGGAUUUGGUUAGAGUUUGAUUUAAGGUUUGGUUUAGAGUUUAGGAUUUGGAUUAGAGUUUAGGAUUGGAUUAGGAUUUGGAUUAGGAUUUAGGGUUUGGUUAGGAUUUGAUUUAGGGUUUGGAUUAGAUUUUGGUUAGGGUUUGAUUUAAGGUUUGGUUUAUGGUUUAGGAUUUGAAUUAGAGUUUAGGGUUGGAUUAGGAUUUGGAUUAGGAUUUGGAUUAGGAUUUAGGAUUUAAUUUAGGUUUAAUUCAGGGUUUGGAUUAGGGUUUGGAUUAGGAUUUGGAUUAGGAUUUAGGGUUUGGUUAGGGUUUGAUUUAGGAUUUGAAUUAGGAUUUGAUUAGGAUUUGAUUUAAGGUUUGGUUUAGGGUUUAGGAUUGGAUUAGGGUUUGAUUUAGGGUUUAGUUUAGGGUUUAGGGUUUGGAAUAGGGUUUAAUUUAAGAUUUGUUUAGGAUUUGACUUAAGAUUUAGGAAUUAUUAGGGUUUAAGAUUUAAUUAGGUUUGGUCUAAAGUUGAGUGAAAUUCAAUAGGGUUUUAAUUAGAAUUAAAUUAAGGUUGAAUUGACAUAUAUUUGAGUAAAAUUUGUGAUCAUUCUAAUAUUUCUUUAAGAAUUUUAUUGUUUGUUUGAAAUUUCUUUGAGUUGUUUUGAAUUGGAUUACGUUUGUUUACCAUUAUUAUA
rnacentral:lncRNA from 1 species